UACGGAGGAUGCGAGCGUUAUCCGGAUUUAUUGGGUUUAAAGGGUACGUAGGCGGUCCGGAAAGUCAGCGGUAAAAGCCCGGGGCUCAACCCCGGCGAGCCGUUGAAACUGUUGGACUAGAGACGGCGAGAAGUACGCGGAAUGCGCGGUGUAGCGGUGAAAUGCAUAGAUAUCGCGCAGAACUCCGAUUGCGAAGGCAGCGUACCGGCGCCGGACUGACGCUGAGGCACGAAAGCGUGGGUAUCGAACAGG
rnacentral:rRNA from 1 species